rnacentral:rRNA from 1 species
UAUGGCCAUAUCAUGUUGAAACAUUGGUUCCCAUAUGAUCACUGAAGUUAAGCAUCAUUGAACCUGGUCAGUACCUAAAUGAGUGACUGCUUGGGGAUACCAGGUGCUGUAG